AUUGAACGCUGGCGGCAGGCUUAACACAUGCAAGUCGAGCGCCCCGCAAGGGGAGCGGCAGACGGGUGAGUAACGCGUGGGAAUCUACCCAUCUCUACGGAAUAACGCAUGGAAACGUGUGCUAAUACCGUAUACGUCCUUCGGGAGAAAGAUUUAUCGGAGAUGGAUGAGCCCGCGUUGGAUUAGCUAGUUGGUGGGGUAAAGGCCUACCAAGGCGACGAUCCAUAGCUGGUCUGAGAGGAUGAACAGCCACACUGGGACUGAGACACGGCCCAGACUCCUACGGGAGGCAGCAGUGGGGAAUAUUGGACAAUGGGCGCGAGCCCGAUCCAGCCAUGCCGCGUGAGUGAUGAAGGCCCUAGGGUUGUAAAGCUCUUUCACCGGUGAAGAUAAUGACGGUAACCGGAGAAGAAGCCCCGGCUAACUUCGUGCCAGCCGCCGCCGUAA
rnacentral:rRNA from 1 species